UACGGAGGGGGCUAGCGUUGUUCGGAAUUACUGGGCGUAAAGCGCACGUAGGCGGCUUUGUAAGUUAGAGGUGAAAGCCCGGGGCUCAACUCCGGAAUUGCCUUUAAGACUGCAUCGCUAGAAUUGUGGAGAGGUAAGUGGAAUUCCGAGUGUAGAGGUGAAAUUCGUAGAUAUUCGGAAGAACACCAGUGGCGAAGGCGGCUCACUGGCCCGAUACUGACGCUGAGGCACGAAAGCGUGGGGGAGCAAACAGGG
rnacentral:rRNA from 1 species